CCUACGGGAGGCAGCAGUGGGGAAUAUUGCACAAUGGGGGAAACCCUGAUGCAGCGAAGCCGCGUGAGCGAUGAAGUAUUUCGGUAUGUAAAGCUCCAUCAGCAGGGAAGAAAAUGACGGUACUUGACUAAGAAGCCCCGGCUAACGACGUGCCAGCAGCCGCGGUAAUACGUAGGGGGCAAGCGUUAUCCGGAUUUACUGGGUGUAAAGGGAGCGUAGACGGUCCUGCAAGCCAGAUGUGAAAGCCUGGGGCUCAACCCCGGGACUGCAUUUGGAACUGUAAGGCUAGAGUGUCGGAGAGGCAGGCGGAAUUCCUAGGGUAGCGGUGAAAUGCGUAGAUAUUAGGAGGAACACCAGUGGCGAAGGCGGCCUGCUGGACGAUGACUGACGUUGAGGCUCGAAAGCGUGGGGAGCAUACAGGAUUAGAUACCCGAGUAGUC
rnacentral:rRNA from 1 species